GUAUAGGAGUGCCCUGGGAGCCCAUCUCUCAUUUCUGAAAGAGAUAGCAUUGUAGAUCUGGACGUUUCAUCACAUAUUCCCAGGAAGGCCCAGCCAAAUGCAGCUGGCACUGUGCCAGACAUUGGGCUAGGUGCUGGGAAUUGAAAUAAUAAACUAUUUCCUGAUUUCUCUUCUCUCUUCUGGAGAAAGAAUUGGAUUAGAACAAGGGGACUUAGAUAUGAUCUGCACCUAGAUGGUAAGAAGAUUUUCCAUAUUUUGAAGUAGAAACUUUCUGUAUGCCUGAAUCUUGCUGUCAAGAAUGUCUUGGCUAAUCAUGAAGGAAGAAUAUAAGAAUGUGAGUAAAAACAAUUCAACAGUCCCUGAGAACAACGUCAAUAAAUAUUCAAAAUUGCAUAACCAUUUUAGUGACUAAAGCACUGAGACUCAUCCAAUAAUACUGUGGUUUGAUAAUUACACAGUUGUGAAUUUAUGAUACUGUUAAAUUGGGGAGACAUCUUGAUGCAUACAGGUCAACCCUUUCAUACAUCAUUAUAUACAAAAAGUACACACCUACUUAGGAAUUGAAGUGUAAUACCUCCUAGCAUAAAAUGCUUAAAAGAAGAUUUUAAGGGAGUGAUACAGUGAGCAUUCCUAUAUGAAUUUUCCUGCUUAUCUGAAGCAUAGCAGAAGAUGUGAAAUUUCUAGGUAAGUUUUUUUUUUUUUUUUUUUGACAGGGUCUUGCUCUGUCACCCGAGCUGAAAUGCAGCAGUGGUAACAUGGUUCACUGCAGCCUCAACCUCCUGGGAUCAAGUGGUCCUCCCACCUCAGCCUCCCAAGUAGC
rnacentral:lncRNA from 1 species